rnacentral:rRNA from 2 species
ACGGGAGGCAGCAGUGGGGAAUAUUGCACAAUGGGGGAAACCCUGAUGCAGCGACGCCGCGUGAGUGAAGAAGUAUUUCGGUAUGUAAAGCUCUAUCAGCAGGGAAGAAAAUGACGGUACCUGACUAAGAAGCCCCGGCUAACUACGUGCCAGCAGCCGCGGUAAUACGUAGGGGGCAAGCGUUAUCCGGAUUUACUGGGUGUAAAGGGAGCGUAGACGGUUCUGCAAGUCUGAUGUGAAAGGCAGGGGCUCAACUCCUGGACUGCAUUGGAAACUGUAGAACUAGAGUGCCGGAGAGGUAAGCGGAAUUCCUAGUGUAGCGGUGAAAUGCGUAGAUAUUAGGAGGAACACCAGUGGCGAAGGCGGCUUACUGGACGGUAACUGACGUUGAGGCUCGAAAGCGUGGGGAGCAAACAGGAUUAGAUACCCUGGUA